GUCAGCCCGGCCGGCAGCACCACCCCGAAGCGGAACAACAUGGCAGCGUCACCUCCCGGCCGCCCGAGGGACCAGACAGCCCCCGCUUACUUCCGCGUUCUGUCGUCAUCACGUAAACGCGUGGCGAACGGAUGCAUAAAUUAAUUGGACAGCACUACCCAGAAUCAAAGAAAGAUUCUUUACUGAAAAUUUCAACAACUAUUAUCUCUUUUUUUAAAGAAACACCACAAAGUGAACUCAGGGGUUUAAAAUGUGAUGUUAAAAUGAUUGUGCUAAUAAUAGGAAACUGAAGCUAAUGAACUGCCUAGACCAAUUAAUGAGGCACAGACCCAACUCCUGUAAUUAAAGUCUAAUUGCAUGACUUAACUAUUUCAGAUCUCUGUUUGCUCUAAUCUAAUGAAACCACAGUAACAGAGAAAAGUAGAGAAUUUAGCUUUUAUAUGCGAUGUCUGGGGGAAGACUAUUAAGCAAAUUAAGAAGCUGGUUAUCACAUAAAACUUCAUUGAUAAAGAGAGAAACAUUGUUUUGGCGCUAUUGCAUAGCAGAAAUAAUAACUCCAGAGGUUGCUGUAACUGUUUGCUGCUGGUUUAUGAUGUAAGAGUAUAUUUUGUGCAGGAUAGAUUAUAAAAAUUAUGACAAGAAUAUCCAUUUUAGUAAGUGCACUUAAUCUUGAGAUUUAUUCUGUGAUAUUAGAUAAGCAAUCCCUUGUGUUUAGCUCUAUUAGUAUUAUUUAAAAGGAAGCAUAGGGUAGUAUGAAUAUGCAGUAACAUUUUUAUAGAGUAAAUAAUUUGCUACUGUUGUCAGUAUGUAUUUGAUUUUCUAGAAGCCUAUAUCUGUAAUGAAAUGCCAAAUCUAAUAUAGACAUUGCAGGACUGUUAAAAUCCUAUGAAAAUAUUCCAGCCAAUUUGAAUUUUGCAUGUUUGCAUGUAAUAGUGCAUGUAAGUCAUAGCAAGAGCUGAUAAUAAAACUUUCCCCUUAAGAGUCUAUCUCAAGACUUAAAUCAAAUCCUAACAGCUUUAAUCAAACUGAAUUAUUUUUACAUUAUAUUGACUUAACUGAUGUCAUGGCAAAGACCGUCUGAGCUCAUUAGGCUCAGCUGUGCAAAGCUUAUGUGAUGUUACUGGCUAUUUGUGAAGAUGUAAGAAAUUAUUGAAUAAAUUAUACUCUGUGUCUGCA